UACGAAGGGGGGCUAGCGUUGCUCGGAAUCACUGGGCGUAAAGGGUGCGUAGGCGGGUCUUUUAAGUCAGGGGUGAAAUCCCGGAGCUCAACUCCGGAACUGCCUUUGAUACUGGUCGUCUAGAGAUCGGAAGAGGUGAGUGGAAUUCCCAGUGUAGAGGUGAAAUUCGUAGAUAUUGGGAAGAACACCGGUGGCGAAGGCGGCGAGCUGGUCCAUUACUGACGCUGAGGCGCGACAGCGUGGGGAGCAAACAGG
rnacentral:rRNA from 1 species